rnacentral:rRNA from 1 species
ACGCUGGCGGCAUGCUUUACACAUGCAAGUCGGACGGCAGCACAGAGAAGCUUGCUUCUUGGGUGGCGAGUGGCGAACGGGUGAGUAACAUAUCGGAACGUACCGAGUAAUGGGGGAUAGCUAAUCGAAAGAUUAGCUAAUACCGCAUAUUCUCUGAGGAGGAAAGCAGGGGACCUUCGGGCCUUGCGUUAUUCGAGCGGCCGAUAUCUGAUUAGCUAGUUGGUGGGGUAAAGGCCUACCAAGGCGACGAUCAGUAGCGGGUCUGAGAGGAUGAUCCGCCACACUGGGACUGAGACACGGCCCAGACUCCUACGGGAGGCAGCAGUGGGGAAUUUUGGACAAUGGGCGCAAGCCUGAUCCAGCCAUGCCGCGUGUCUGAAGAAGGCCUUCGGGUUGUAAAGGACUUUUGUCAGGGAAGAAAAGGCUGUUGCUAAUACCGACAGUUGAUGACGGUACCUGAAGAAUAAGCACCGGCUAACUACGUGCCAGCAGCCGCGGUAAUACGUAGGGUGCGAGCGUUAAUCGGAAUUACUGGGCGUAAAGCGAGCGCAGACGGUUACUUAAGCAGGAUGUGAAAUCCCCGGGCUCAACCUGGGAACUGCGUUCUGAACUGGGUGACUAGAGUGUGUCAGAGGGAGGUAGAAUUCCACGUGUAGCAGUGAAAUGCGUAGAGAUGUGGAGGAAUACCGAUGGCGAAGGCAGCCUCCUGGGAUAACACUGACGUUCAUGCUCGAAAGCGUGGGUAGCAAACAGGAUUAGAUACCCUGGUAGUCCACGCCCUAAACGAUGUCAAUUAGCUGUUGGGCAACUUGAUUGCUUAGUAGCGUAGCUAACGCGUGAAAUUGACCGCCUGGGGAGUACGGUCGCAAGAUUAAAACUCAAAGGAAUUGACGGGGACCCGCACAAGC